GGAGAUGUAUGGUAGUGGACAAAUCCCGCGGUGGAUAGACGAAGGCUUUUAACAAAUUUGAACAAUCCUUUUAUUGGAAAACGAAAUGUAAAAAGAGGAAAUGCUUUUUAUUUGACUGUACUCAAUGAAUAAGUAUCGGCUAACUAUGUGCCAGCCGCCGCGGAAAUACAUAGGAUGCACGCGUUAUCCGGAUUUAGUGGGCGUAAAGCCAGCGCAGGGGGAUUUGCAAGUUUAGUGUUAAAUACUUCUGCCUAACAGGAGUAUGCAUUAAAAAGUGCAAGUCUAAAGUGUAAUAAAGAUUUUUGGAACUCCAUGUGGAGCGGUGAAAUGCACAAAUAUAUGGAAGAACACCAGAGGCGAAGGCGAAAAAUUAGACUAUAACUGACGCUUAAGCUUGAAAGUGUGGGGAACAAAUAGGAAUAAAUACCCUAGUAAUCCCCACCGGAAACGAAGGAAAUUAAAUCUUGGGAAGGAAUUUAUCAGGAUUGCAGUUAACGCGUUAAAUUACCCGCCUGGGUACUACAUUCGCAAGAAUGAAACUCAUACGGAAUUGACGGGGACCCGCACAAGUGGUGGAUCAUGUUGCUUAAUUCGACGAUACACGAAAAACCUUACCUGGGCUUGACCUCCCUUGCAAAUGCCAUGGAAACAUGGUGGAGGUUAACAAAGUGACAGAUGGUGC
rnacentral:rRNA from 1 species